GCAGGACCUGGGGGCUUCACCAAAGAUAAGGUAAGCUAUUAGUUACCUCAUUGGUAUUUAAAUGGUAAAUUAGAGAUUUACAGUUUAUCAUUUGCAUCUUUUGCUUUUUUUCUUCUUAUUAUUUUAUAGACAUUAGGGUCUAUUCUCAACCUUGAUAUGGUUCAGGAGAAAUCUGGAUCUGAAAUUGCAGAGCUAUGGAUGCAGUACUUCUCAAAGAAAGACACAAUCAGUGCCGACAUCCCAGGUUCAACCUUUGACAUUAUUUUUGGUGUCAUACCAUCAACAUAACCCUGCAAAAUGCUAAAUGUCCACUUGGUGGCAGUAGAUACUUUCAAGAGUGGCCUUCAUGAGUCCAAUCAUGAGGAGUUUGUCUUAUGAAUAUCCUGAUCAUAGGCUAUCUGUGGCCUCUGAUGUUCUGUAAAACUUACCAAUAAGGUUGGGAACCAAGAAAAAUACAGAAAAAUGUGACAUUAGCAGUUGUAAUGUGUGUGUUCUUCGUAAUUUAUUCAGUAGCUCCAUAAUACUUCUAAUGAAUCUAAAAUGUGAAACAGACAGUGGUUCGAUUGCCGAAUGAAUCCGUUCAAUAAGUCGGUUCUUUUUAGUGAAAACAUACAGCACAACUUGUGUAGUUCAAUUUCUCUCGUUUGAUUCCGUUUACUCUCUUGAGGCAGUCAUUUUUAGUGAAUCAAGCACAUGAAGAUGGUUCUUUUUAUAGUGAAUAAAUUGACUAAGGCCCAAUUCCUGAAUGAAUCACUUUAAUGAAUCAAAUACACAGCGCAACCAGCAUAGUCCAAUUCCUGAAUGAGUGACUCUAAUGAGCCGACUCUUUUUAAAGAAUUAAACUUAUAGCACAACCAGCGUAGUCUGAUUUCAUAAUGAAUCACUUUCAUGAGACAGGGUCUUUUUUAUUGAAUCAAACACAUAGCGCAACCAGUGUAGUUUGAUUCCUGAGCAAAUCACUUUAAUGAGGUGAUCACUUUAAUGAGGGAGUUAUUUUUAAUGAAUCAAACAUUCAGUGCAACCAGUGUAAUUCAAAUUCCUGAAUGAGUGACUCUAAUGAGCCGACUCUUUUUAAAGAAUUAAACUUAUAGCACAACCAGCGUAGUCUGAUUUCAUAAUGAAUCACUUUCAUGAGACAGGGUCUUUUUUAGUGAAUCAAACACAUAGCAACCAGUGUAGUUUGAUUCCUGAGCAAAUCACUUUAAUGAGGUGAUUUUUUUUUUUACGAUUCCCAUCCUUAUGUACCAGCAUGUACAUUACCAGAAAGUUAAAUCUUCAUACUAAUGAUAUAUAAUCUAUGAUAAUAGAUAUAUAAUAUAUGAUAAUGUAUUUUUUGCAGUUUCUGUUCACUCUGCCCCAGAAGGAGG
rnacentral:lncRNA from 1 species